rnacentral:rRNA from 1 species
AGAGUUUGAUCAUGGCUCAGGACUAACGCUGGCGGCGUGCUUAACACAUGCAAGUUGAACGGGGUACUCCAAGCAGUAAUGUGAGGAGUACUUAGUAGCGGACGGGUGAGUAACGCGUGAGCAAUCUGCCUUUGUGAGGGGGACAACAGCCGGAAACGGCUGCUAAUACCGCAUGAGACCACAGCUCCGAUUGGAGCAGGGGUAAAAGAUUUAUCGCACAAAGAUGAGCUCGCGUCCCAUUAGCUAGUUGGUGAGGUAACAGCCCACCAAGGCGACGAUGGGUAGCCGACCUGAGAGGGUGAUCGGCCACACUGGAACUGAGACACGGUCCAGACUCCUACGGGAGGCAGCAGUGGGGAAUAUUGGGCAAUGGGCGCAAGCCUGACCCAGCAACGCCGCGUGAGGGAAGAAGGUCUUCGGAUUGUAAACCUCUGUCCUUGGGGACGAAAAAAAUGGCGGUACCCAAGGAGGAAGCUCCGGCUAACUACGUGCCAGCAGCCGCGGUAAUACGUAGGGAGCGAGCGUUGUCCGGAAUUACUGGGCGUAAAGGGUGCGUAGGCGGCGCUGCAAGUCAGAUGUGAAAUCCCCGGGCUUAACCCGGGAUCUGCAUUUGAAACUGCAGUGCUUGAGUGCAGGAGAGGAAAGCGGAAUUCCUAGUGUAGCGGUGAAAUGCGUAGAUAUUAGGAAGAACACCAGUGGCGAAGGCGGCUUUCUGGACUGUUACUGACGCUGAGGCACGAAAGCGUGGGGAGCAAACAGGAUUAGAUACCCUGGUAGUCCACGCUGUAAACGAUGGAUACUAGGUGUGGGGGAGAUACUACCUCUGUGCCGCAGCAAACGCAAUAAGUAUCCCGCCUGGGGAGUACGGUCGCAAGACUAAAACUCAAAUGAAUUGACGG